rnacentral:lncRNA from 1 species
CAGCAAUAAGAUAAACUCCACAUUUGCUUUUAAAACAAUUUAUUUGAGUAGACAGCCAACCCCCUGUAUUGUACUCCUUUAAAAAAUAUUUUAGGCUUUUUAAAUGCUGAGGCAAGGGGACAUCCUUAAAGGCUGAACUGAAUUCUCUGAUAUCAGCAACUAAACAUCUCAUAUUUGUCAGUAUGAACAUCCACUGGGUGCCUGUUAUUUAACCAGGUAGAAUUCUUAGCUGUGAUUGAAAAUCUAGGUAUCUCUUCUGGUACUAUCACUUGGAUGAGUAAAGUUUGAAAACCAUUAAGUUGACAUUUCUAAUAGGACUGUGGAUUUAACAUAUGUCAUAACAUCAUCACUAUGGAUCCCAUCUUUUAAUGAGAGCUUAGUAUAUGCUACACACUGUCACUAAACAUGUAGGAUCUUGUUUAGUUUUCUCAAAAUGUUGUAGUUACUAUGAUUAUUUUUUGUGUCUUGCAAUCAUUGUGUAUAAGUGCGUAAACCAUGUAUCUAGAGUUUAUAGAAGAAUUAAAAUUCAAAAACCCUAUACUCAUCUCUCAUUUUUAAAAAAUACCAUUUUACCUGUCUUUAGAUGCCCUGUAUUUCCUCCCCAAUCUCAUCCCGCUCCUACUCUUGAAAGUGAUCACUAUCCAAAUUUUGUGCCAAACAUUAACUUGUUUUCUUUAGCUUUGCCAUCUAUGUAUGUAUCCCUAGGUAAUACAUGGCUUAGUUACACUUGUUUUUAAAUUUGAUGUAAAUGUAAUCCUAUAGUAUGAAUUUUCUAAGACUUGAUUAAUCUAUGAACAUUUUAUUUUGAGAUUCAUCAAUAUUGAUGUGUGUAGCUAUAGUUUAUUCAUUGCUGUUGCUGAAAAAUAUUCUAUUGGAUGACUUUGCUACAAUUUAUUCUACCAUUGUUGGAUAUUUGAGUUGUUCCCA